rnacentral:sRNA from 1 species
AGUAGCCUGACGGAUCGAAAGAUGAAGGGUGAGGAACAGGACAGCCAACUGAUAAAGGGAAUAACAGCAUUGCUUGGAGAUAAUGAACCACAGAGGAUAUAGAAGAAUAUCCUCAUCCUCGAAAUGGCAGUAGAGGAGAUAGUUCUUUUUUAUAAAGAGCGUCGUGAGCGAAAGGGUGAAUAUAAAUUCAUCUGGAUCGGCUUACUGCAGUUCCCAAGUGUACAGGGCGAUGAGGUGGUUGAGAGACCGUUGUACACCUACA